rnacentral:rRNA from 1 species
GACGAACGCUGGCGGCGUGCUUAACACAUGCAAGUCGAACGGAAAGGCCCUGCUUUUGUGGGUUGCUCGAGUGGCGAACGUGUGAGUAACACGUGAGUAACCUGCCCUUGACUUUGGGAUAACUUCAGGAGACUGGGGCUAAUACGGGAUAGGAGCUCCUGCUGCAUGGUGGGGGUUGGAAAGUUGCGGCGGUUUGGGAUGGACUCGAGGCUUAUCAGCUUGUUGGGGGGGUAGUGGCUUACCAAGGCUUUGAGGCGUAGCCGGCCUGAGAGGGUGACCGGACACAUUAGGUCUGGGAUACGGCCCAGCCGCGUAUGGGAGGCAGGGGUGGAGAAUAUUGCAGAGUGAGCGGAAGGAAGCUGCGACAACGCGGCGUGCGGGAUGACGGGAUGUGGGUUGUUAACCGAUGUUGAAUGUGACGAGGAGUGAGUGACGGUAAUUGGUAAAGAAGCACCGGCUAACUACGUG